rnacentral:rRNA from 1 species
AUUGAACGCUGGCGGCAGGCUUAACACAUGCAAGUCGAGCGGGGAAAGGUAGCUUGCUACCGGACCUAGCGGCGGACGGGUGAGUAAUGCUUAGGAAUCUGCCUAUUAGUGGGGGACAACAUCUCGAAAGGGAUGCUAAUACCGCAUACGUCCUACGGGAGAAAGCAGGGGAUCUUCGGACCUUGCGCUAAUAGAUGAGCCUAAGUCGGAUUAGCUAGUUGGUGGGGUAAAGGCCUACCAAGGCGACGAUCUGUAGCGGGUCUGAGAGGAUGAGCCGCCACACUGGGACUGAGACACGGCCCAGACUCCUACGGGAGGCAGCAGUGGGGAAUAUUGGACAAUGGGGGGAACCCUGAUCCAGCCAUGCCGCGUGUGUGAAGAAGGCCUUAUGGUUGUAAAGCACUUUAAGCGAGGAGGAGGCUACUUUAGUUAAUACCUAGAGAUAGUGGACGUUACUCGCAGAAUAAGCACCGGCUAACUCUGUGCCAGCCGCCGCGGUAA